GUGGGUUUGAGCGGACGAGUUGACAGUGGCAAGGUUAGGGUUUCCUGUAGCAGGAAUAGUGGCCACAUAUCCAUAAUUAAGUUAAGGAGGUUGGGGUUCAGUUGCAAAGAAGUUUAUUUGCUGUUCAGGCGUCACAGUAGUAGCAGCCAGAGAGCCAAGUGGUGAAGACUGAGUCAUAACAACAUCAGUAGUUGAUGGGGAGGAAGAGUUGCGGUAGGCAGAGCGAGAGGGUUUGGGUGAGUUUGCAGAUAGGGGUGGGAAUUGGAGAGGGUACUGGGGGAGUUCUGGUCAGGAGGGUCAGGGGGAGCGGGAGGAGGGGCUUCACCUGAGGUGGGUGACGGUGGUUUGAGGCCGAAAGCACGGUCCGGAAUGGCCCAACGAGACUGCAUCGAGAAGCGUGUCAGGGAGAAACUGACUUUCUUUUAAAUUAUACUAGUGAAAAGAGACAACGUUCUGCAGUUUGUGAAAAGAGACAACGCUCUGCAGACUGCAG
rnacentral:lncRNA from 1 species